rnacentral:rRNA from 1 species
UGGGGAAUAUUGGACAAUGGGGGGAACCCUGAUCCAGCCAUGCCGCGUGUGUGAAGAAGGCCUUAUGGUUGUAAAGCACUUUAAGCGAGGAGGAGGGUACUGGUAUUAAUACUACCAGGUACUGGACGUUACUCGCAGAAUAAGCACCGGCUAACUCUGUGCCAGCAGCCGCGGUAAUACAGAGGGUGCGAGCGUUAAUCGGAUUUACUGGGCGUAAAGCGUGCGUAGGCGGCUAAUUGAGUCGGAUGUGAAAUCCCCGAGCUUAACUUGGGAAUUGCAUUCGAUACUGGUUAGCUAGAGUGUGGGAGAGGAUGGUAGAAUUCCAGGUGGAGCGGUGAAAUGCGUAGAGAUCUGGAGGAAUACCGAUGGCGAAGGCAGCCAUCUGGCCUAACACUGACGCUGAGGUACGAAAGCAUGGGGAGCAAACAGG